rnacentral:rRNA from 1 species
CCGGCGAGGGGAGUGAAAAAGAACCUGAAACCGUGUACGUACAAGCAGUGGGAGCACCCUUUUGGGUGUGACUGCGUACCUUUUGUAUAAUGGGUCAGCGACUUAUAUUCUGUAGCAAGGUUAACCGAAUAGGGGAGCCGCAGGGAAACCGAGUCUUAACCGGGCGUUAAGUUGCAGGGUAUAGACCCGAAACCCGGUGAUCUAGCCAUGGGCAGGUUGAAGGUUGGGUAACACUAACUGGAGGACCGAACCGACUAAUGUUGAAAAAUUAGCGGAUGACCUGUGGCU